rnacentral:lncRNA from 1 species
GAACUUGUUUGGGCAACUAUCCCUGGACAGUUCUCCUGGCUUUGCUUUCAUCCCGUCCGAUGGCCACCUGGACUGCGCAUGCCUCCAGACAUGGCAGGAGAAACUUCCAGAUGUCAGGGCAGACCGGAUUCCAGCCGUGAGAUGAGAAAUAUUGGCCAGACCAGGUUGGUGCACGGUGGACCCUGUCCUCCACUCCGCUGCCACUCUCAAGGAGUCCACGGUGUCCGGAUCCCUUGUAUUCUUAUGCCGGCACCGGAGUUUAAGGUGGCAGCAGCAGCAGCUGGCUGAGAGGCUGGACUAAGAGGCCUGUGAUGAAGAUGGGGUCCGAGGACUGGAGAGGUCCUGUCUUAGCUUUCACUGAGAGAGGACUGCUGAGCUCUGGGACAACUCCUUUGUCCUUCUUGGACCUCAAUUUCCCUACUGAGGACACUUGGGAGUCUCUGCUGCAACCUGGGGUGGGGUGGGGGUGAAGGGCUGUCUUGCUGCUGCGGGCACUGCAGGGAGUGAGUUCCCCAUUCUUGGGACUAUGCAAGCAGAUGUGUGGCUGGAGCAGAGCAGAACUUUGAGCUGCCUCCUCAGAAGAUGGGGAGUCCUUCCCGAGUCUGUUCUCUGUUCUUCUUGUUCUGGUAGAGCCUCUCUCACUCCCCUUGCUUUCUCCCAGUGACCUUCUGACCUCAACAGCCUUGACUGCUAGAGCCACAUGGAGGCAGAAGAGGCAUUAAAAGGCAAAAUCCAGUUCCAUUCGGUGCUGGGGAUAGCUCUUAUUAGGCUUAAUUAAAAUAAAUGGGAUUGCUUCCUGU